ACGGAGGGUGCAAGCGUUAUCCGGAUUUACUGGGUUUAAAGGGUGCGUAGGUGGGCAGGUAAGUCAGUGGUGAAAUCUCCGAGCUUAACUCGGAAACUGCCAUUGAUACUAUUUGUCUUGAAUAUCCUGGAGGUGAGCGGAAUAUGUCAUGUAGCGGUGAAAUGCUUAGAUAUGACAUAGAACACCAAUUGCGAAGGCAGCUCACUACGGGAUUAUUGACACUGAGGCACGAAAGCGUGGGGAUCAAACAGGAUUAGAUACCCUGGUAGUCCACGCCCUAAACGAUGGAUACUCGACAUCAGCGAUACACUGUUGGUGUCUAAGCGAAAGCAUUAAGUAUCCCACCUGGGAAGUACGAUCGCAAGAUU
rnacentral:rRNA from 1 species